GCAUAUCAAUAAGCGGAGGAAAAGAAACCAACAGGGAUUGCCCCAGUAACGGCGAGUGAAGCGGCAACAGCUCAGAUUUGGAAUCUGGCCCCCAGGGCCCGAGUUGUAAUCUGGAGAGGAUGCUUCUGGCGCGGCGCCUUCCGAGUUCCCUGGAACGGGACGCCGGAGAGGGUGAGAGCCCCGUACGGUCGGACGCCUAGCCUGUGUGAAGCUCCUUCGACGAGUCGAGUAGUUUGGGAAUGCUGCUCAAAAUGGGAGGUAAAUUUCUUCUAAAGCUAAAUACCGGCCAGAGACCGAUAGCGCACAAGUAGAGUGAUCGAAAGAUGAAAAGCACUUUGAAAAGAGGGUCAAACAGUACGUGAAAUUGUUGAAAGGGAAGCGCCCGUGGCCAGACUUGUGCCCGGCGGACCACCCGGCGCCCCAGCGCCGGUGCACUCCGUCGGGCGCAGGCCAGCAUCGGUUUUCCCAGGGGGAUAAAGGCGGCGGGAACGUGGCUCCUCCGGGAGCGUUAUAGCCCGCCGUGCCAUGCCUCUGGGGGGACCGAGGACCGCGCAUCUGCAAGGAUGCUGGCGUAAUGGCCACCGGCGACCCGUCUUGAAACACGGACC
rnacentral:rRNA from 4 species